rnacentral:rRNA from 1 species
GAUGAACGCUGGCGGCGUGCCUAACACAUGCAAGUCGAGCGAACAGACGAGGCUUUUGCUUCUUUGACGCUAGCGGCGGACGUGUGAGUCACACGUAUCUACCCUACCUUUAAGACUGGGAUAAUUUCGGGAAACCUGCUCCAACAUCGGAUAAUAUUUCGAACCGUAUGGUUCUUUAGACCAAUAUGUCUUUGCUAUCUCUUAUAGAUGGUCCUUGGCUGUAUUUGCUAGUUGGUACGGUAACGGCUUACCAAGGCAACGAUACGUAGCCGAACUGAGAGGAUGAUAGGCCACACUGGAACUGAGACACGGUCCAGACUCCUACGGGAGGCAGCAGUAGGGAAUCUUCGGCAAUGGGCGAAAGCCUGAAGGAGCAAGGCCGCGUGAGUGAUGAAGGUCUUCGGAUCGUAAAGCACUGUUAUUAGGGAGGAACAGACGUAUAAGUAAAUGUGGAGGUCUUGACGGUACCAAAUCAAAAAGCAACGGCUAACUACGUG